UGUAAUAUUUUUUGAACGUUGUGAAAAAUGAUCUGACCGAAACCAAAAGAAAAGCUCCUUAAAAUCAAAUCAGAUUUUUUCCUCCUCCUGUCGUCUCCGGCGGCAGCCCAACCCAGCUCUUGCCCAAAUCUUAUCCAUUUUAUUUGAUUCUACUCAUCUCUCAGCAACACUCAUUCGUGUGAAUUGAAAUUGCCGAUCUACAAGACGAACGGACAUUACGAAGCACGGCCACAGUGACUUUGAAUAUUUUCUUUCUGCCUUUCAUAGUCUCACUCUCGUCACCCUAAGCCCUCGACAAGAUGAAGCCGAUGCUGCCUUUAGUCUUCCUUCCAUCGACACCAUCAGCAGCCGGUAGCGCAAGCAGCAAUGAUCCAUUUUUGGAAGAAGAAGAAAUGUAAACUAGGACAAUGGAACCGUGAACAAGUGAAGCUAGAAGUCCUCUCAUUGAACUUUUCUGUUUAUUUGUUAUUUGAUUUGAUUUGAGCCUAAAAUCAAGAUGAGUCAAUUUUGUGAUUCUUAUGAAAUCAAUCUUCGAAGCUGUCGGAGUGACGGAGCCUCGAGCCUGGAAUUAGAGUAAAGUCAAAUGAUCACAUUUGUUGACACAAAGGUUGACACAUCUCUCACUGUCGAGGUGUGGGUCCCUCGCCAAUAAAAUAAUGUCGACUCCCCAUGUGAGUGUGUUGUGUCAACCGAUGUGUUAACAAAUGUGGCUAUGUAGCAUGACCCCUGGAAUUAAUACCUAAUUGGACACUGCCCCUGCCCCCCAAGUUUGGAGUUUGUAAUCAUUUUGAUUUAUCUGUAAUUGAUUUUAAAACCCUUCUAGAUUA
rnacentral:lncRNA from 1 species